CCUACGGGUGGCAGCAGUAAGGAAUCUUCCACAAUGGACGAAAGUCUGAUGGAGCAACGCCGCGUGCAGGAUGACGGCCUUCGGGUUGUAAACUGCUUUUAUAUGGGAAGCGGUACCAUAUGAAUAAGGACCGGCUAACUACGUGCCAGCAGCCGCGGUAAUACGUAGGGUCCAAGCGUUAUCCGGAAUCACUGGGCGUAAAGCGUGCGUAGGCGGCGUGUUAAGUGUUGUGUUAAAUCGUGGGGCUCAGCCCUAUCGUUGCAUCGCAUACUGGCAUGCUAGAGGAAGGCAGAUGCAAGUGGAAUUUGUAGUGUAGCAUUGAAAUGCGUAGAUAUUACAAGGAACACCAAUGGCGAAGGCAGCUUGCUGGCCUUUCUGACGCUGUGGUACGAAAGCGUGGGGAGCGAACAGGAUUAGAUACCCUGGUAGUC
rnacentral:rRNA from 1 species